AGAGAGAGAGAGCGAGAGAGAGCGAGAGAGAGCGAGAGAGAGCGAGAGAGAGCGAGAGAGAGCGAGAGAGAAGCCGAGAGAGAGAGAGUGAGAGAGAGAGAGUGGGUGAGAUUAGGAGAGUGUUUAAGAUCGGGUUCAACGAGCACACCUUAAUAUGGGGGUAAAAAGGAUCACCUGCCUAAGGAUCAUAACCUGAUCAAAGAUUAAGACAAUGGCAUAGAAUAGGGAGGGAAGGAGAGUGGGCGUUGUUGGAAUCGUGGAGGCGACAACAUAUAAAUUGGCAUUUCAUCAUGGAAGACUCCAGAGUUAGGGGAAAUAAGGUAGAUUUGGAUUGGACCUGGAACAAACAGAAACAAAACAAAACAAAACAAAAAAAAAACACAAGGAAAAGGUGUUGCUUUGCAGCGUUCAUUAUAAGCAAUUAUGUUUAAUAGAGACACACGGCCCUUGCUCGCUCGCCCGUUUGCUCUCUUUAUCUCGCUUUUUCCCCUAUCCUUGCUAUACCCGGACAUGAAAGACACACUUUCCCGCGCAAAGUGGUGUCCUCUGUGUAAUGUGCACAGGGAGAGGAUAGGGGAGGGAGCGAAGGGGAGAGAGAGAGAUGAAGGAGCGCGUGUGCGCGUGGCGGCAGUGUGAGGAUUUUUUUUAGCUUUUAAGGAGCAAAUGAGAUAUAUAUUAGAACAGCGAGCCACAGCUAGACAGAGAAAAAUAGAGAGAGCCAGAGAAAGAGAGAGAGAGAGAGAGAGGGAGAGAGGGAGGAAGGAAGGAAGGAAGAGACAGAGAAAAAGAGAGAGAGAGAGAGAGAGAGAGAGAGAGAGAGAGAAAGAGAGAGAAGUCGAGAAAAAUUAUGUCAAAACGCGAACAACCCCAUUUUUCCCCAUUUGACACGCGAUCGAUUGUUAUUGAUCAUAGAUGUAGACACAAACCAUCCCCGGGACACCGAGCAUUUGCACGGUGCUGGUCGUGUUCGUUGCUUAUUGGUAAACAACUCUCUCUCUUUUGAUAAUUUUUGUGCCUCUCUUUCGCGUUUUUUUUUAGUGUAUGUAACUUUUCCUCCAAACACACAUUAAUGCAUUGUGCGCGUUUUUUUUUUUUCGAUUUGCGGUGCGUGUUGUGCGCGAGCGCGCGUUUGUGUGUCUGUCUGUAUGGACGAGUGAAGGAUUUUCAAGUGUUUUUGUUGGGGGAAUGGACUCACAUCUCUUUGAUCACCACCCGUAGCACACACACACACACGCACACACACACACACACACACACACACUCACACCAGCAUCCCACCACCCACUAGCUGGGCUCACAUUUCCAUAAUCGUGAAACCCCUUAAAAAACAGCAGCAGGCAGUAGACGCAAAGGCGAUUAAGCAGAGUUCGAAAUAUGCGUUAGGUUCUAUAAUAUUUUUUUUUCUUCCCGUUAUUCUCUCAAAAAAUAUGUAUCUCCUGAACAAUCUAUACUUUGUAGAAUUCAAUUGCGGUGACUCGCAGAAUAAAUAGAGGCGGUGCGCGAACUGAACUAACGCCGACCGUAGCCACCCCCAAAACUCAUCCCGAAAAGCUUUUUUCUGCGUGCGCAUCUACAAAAAGGGUGAGGGGGAGGGGCGGGGGGGUGUAUGAGGGAGAGCAAGUGCAGAAGAAUUAAAGUGCAGGAAAGCGAUAAAGAGCGAUAAACCAGGGAUGAGGUGGCAAAUUUCUUCUCUCCCUUCAGUUUGUGCUAGCAUGUUUGUCUCCUUUCGCUACGUACGCGAACACUCUCACAUACCCACACACACACACACACACACACAAAAACACAUAAACACUCAUCCACAACAUAGUACAUAAGCAGGAGGAGAAAAGGGUAUAGUUGGGGGGGGGGAUGGUUGGUAUGUGUUAGUGCGUGUGUCGUUAAGGGAAUAAAUUCACACACACACACACACACACACACACACACACACACACACACACACACACACACACACACACACACACACACACACACACACACACACACACACACACACACACACACACAUACACAUACACAUACACAUACACAUACACAUACACAUACACAUACACAUACACAUACACAUACACAUUAGCCUGCCAUAGCCACCAGCGCUAAAAGGAAACGAAGUGCAGAAGCCCAUCAAAACCAUAUGGAAAAAAGGGAUGAAUUUCAGCAGAAGGAAGAAAACAAAUGUUCUAACAAAAUCAAUAUAAUGUAAAAGAAAUAUGAUUCAUAAUAUAAGUAAUCCAUAUUUAGAGGAAAGCGCGACACAAAUUGGUUUUUUUCUACAGGAUGCUGUCUGCCUCCGUUCGUCUUUUUGAAGUUGUUUUUGCCAUCUGCUUCUCUCGUCUCGGUUGCGCUGCGGUCCACCAACACGCCAAUCCAGGUGGCGAAAGAAGCCCGGGAGCCCGCCAAGGCCUAGAGUAGGGUAAAAAGAUAAGAGGGAGGAGAAGAUGGAGAAGGCAAGAAAGAGAAGCAGUUUAAAACAAAUUGAAAGAAGCGAUAUUAGUAGAGUGUGGUAAGAAUAAUGGAAGGCCGCGUUUUGUUUACUUUACCGCCCAACCCCACUUCUCUUCUGCGGAAGCAGAGCAAGACAUCCCCAGCCCCCGGUCAAACGAAAUACAAUUUAAAGCGUUCCAGUUCACAUAGAUGCAGAAGCAGAAGUAGAGAUGGCGAGAUAUGGGGAACGUACCACAAGGCAGAAGAGGAGCAUUAAAUACACAAAAAAGGCUACAACUUGAAAAAGUAAGUAUAAGAGAUAGUAACAACACAACAAAAUAUAAAUUCAUUAUAAACUUACACAAAGAGAGGGAGAGAGAGCGAGAGAGAAAGAGAGAAAGUGACAGAGAAAGAGAGAGUAAAAGAAAGAGAGAGACACAGAGACAGAGAUACAUCAAACACACGAGUAACACACGUUCUAGAGAAUAGUGUGAAAACAAUAUAGCAGUAAGGAAAGAAAACAAAAAAAAAAACC